ACAGCCCAAUGGUAGGGCGUCAGACUUCUAAUCUGAAGGCUGCGGGUUCGAGCCCCGCCGGGGGUA
rnacentral:tRNA from 1 species